UCUGUUAUAGUAUAUUAUGUAUGUCUGCCUUCCAAGCAGAAGGUCCAGUUAUGGUGGCAGA
rnacentral:tRNA from 1 species